rnacentral:rRNA from 1 species
GGAAGGAUCAUUCACUGAGCAAUGCAGGUCCUUUGGGCUGCACAAGCUUUUUAUCUUUCUUGAUCAAGGCAUAUUUGCUAAAUAUGCCUUCCACGUUAAAGUGGAUUGUGAUGAUUUGGGAUCAUCAGUUUUUUAAUGAUGGCCCUUGGGCUCAAUGAUGCCAACUGUGUGAGCCUUUUAAGUGGCUUGCCCUCACAAUUAUGGUCAUUGAGGGAUUUGGGUUGUGGAAGCAAUCCAGGAUUGAGAUUGAUUUGAGGGUUGGCACUCAGUAUCAUCUCUUUGGAGUUUAUUUUACAACUUUCAGCAAUGGAUCUCUUGGUUCUUGCAUCGAUGAAGAACGCAGC